rnacentral:rRNA from 1 species
CGUGGGACCUGCGGAAGGAUCCAA